rnacentral:lncRNA from 1 species
UGAGCGCACGCACCGGCGGGAGUAAUGGCGCCGGGCCAGGCGGAGGAGUGGCGCCAGUGGAUGGGGCGCCGGGUGCCACGAGAAGAAAGGAGAGAGAGAAGAAGGAAGGAAGAAGAAAGAAGAAGAAGGAAGAAAGGAAGAAGGGAAAAAGAAAAGAAAGAAAGGGGGAAAAUGAAAAAGAAAAAGAGAGGGACCGGCGGCGAUUGCGGCACGCGGUCAGAGCACGCGCGCGGUCUGACAACGGCACGCGGCGAGAUUCACGGGCAUAGAUAAAAAGACAGGUGGGGGUCGGCAUGGGUACCGGGAUGGCGAAAACGCCGGGGAGAUUUCCGAUUUCCGGGAGCUCAGCGGUAAAAAGAUUUUAAAGGCAGUUUUUAACGGGUGCUUUUUAGUUGGUGAUUUUCUGCGGGCGUUACACUUUGGCUCCUCUACUGAUCAGUUUUCACGUGGCGACGGUUGAUGGGCCCCCUACAUCGGUUAUGGGAUAUUCCCCGAAGAUUCCUUGGCAGCACCGUCUCUUGGAGCCUAUAAAGAGAGGCACCCCCUCCAUUCUAACACACCCCACAAGUUGAAUCACUCACUCCCUCUUAGUUUCCAUGUUAGUGGAGUUAGGCUAGAGUAGCUUGUUGACGACAGUUAGCAC